UUGACGUUUUUGUUUUAGCUUAUCAGUUUAAUUUUCCCUUAGGAACGAUAAAAUGGCUAUUUGGAUUAGGACAAAUUUAUCCUAGAUGUAUUACAGUGACCAAAUAGUAUCGGCAUCAUAAUUUCUUCAUCAAAAUAUUUGAAAGAAAUCUGUUGACAUCGACACUGAAACUUCUGCUACUACGGUUGGUACCCAAGUCUACAUCAGAAUAUUUGAAAGACAACUAUUGUAAGUGAUGUUCGUUCUUCCAGUUUUCACUUUUCAAUAGGUCUUAUAUACGUAACUGUUAAUUUUCUUUAGUAUGCCAACAAGCUGAAACUAGCGUUUGAACUAGCUCAGUAACUAAUGCAACAAAUCUAUGGAGUUUUCUGGUUGAUAGUAUCUAUCCAUAAUAGCAGGAAAAGGAAAGAAAAUGUUACAUGCGUUUUUGUUCUAGACAUUUAUAUAUUUCUGUAUUCUAAAAUGGCUACUAAGAAGGGCUUCUUCAAGUUGAUCCAUAGAAAUCCGGAAGAAAAUUUAAAUAUGGUGCAACUUGCAAGUCACGUGUUUUAAUAGAAGCAUGUUAUUUAAGCAUAGACACUUUUGAUCUGAUCUUGGGUCAUUGUUAUGAUCAACACUAUGUACAUGAUGAGUUGAUUAAAUAGACAAGUACACACUAUUGAUGUUUUUUUUUGACAUUGCUUAUUCCGUGCUGCAGAAGGGCACUGCCGCACCAGCGAAGGGAAGCAGGGGCUGAAUGAACACAUGGCAACAUGGUUUUCAUCUUUAAUGUAGUUUUUAACACUUGAACAUUUAAACAACAUACAGCUAGAUGUUCACAAUAGUACAUGUGAAGUGGUACAUUAAUAAUACUCCCUCCGAUCCAUAAUAAGUGUCCGAGGUUUAGUUAAAGUUUGGACUAAAUUGAACUAAAUCUCUGACACUUAUUAUGGAUCGGAGGGAGUACCUUAUUAGGAUUAAAGGCAAUGAUACAACAUGUUCUCUUCUCCUUUGAAAUCACUGUGUUCGUAUUGUUUGCUGAAGAUUAGAGUAACCAAGAGUUGUGCUAGACUGUCUCCCAAGCAGAACAUUUAGGUUAGACCCUGCAUAAAAUCAGCAUGAUUGCCAUUACUAACUCUUGGUUAUUGUUCGCCCAAGAGUAGAGCAACCAAAAGUUGUUAAUCAUCACUUGGUGCCACUUAUGAUCUGUUAUGGAGAGUUGGGGUGUUUUUAGGCAACGAGUAAUUUAGUUUAUUGGCUUAUGCCAAUGAGUUCUCGCAUCUCAGGUUAAUUAGUCAGUGAUGAUCAACAAAGAAAUAGACAGAUGUGCAAACCUGCAACGAUAAAUAGAUUAUACUUUAAUUCUUUUAGUCUAGCUUGUACCUCAAAUAUUUUGACUGGUUGUCUCUGUUGCAGGACCACAUGGUGCUCUUCUGUGUGGUAAUGAUUUGACGCAUCAUUAACAGCCUUUGCAAUUGCAGAGACAUCUUCAAGACCAAUGAUUCAAAAUAGCCAUGCAACACCAUCUACCCAAGUUUUCUUGUCACUGACACUCAUCCCAAGAAGCAACUCAGUUGCACCAUAUUUUGAAGGCCGAGAGCUCCGCUGAAUUUCAGAACCAUCAGGAAUGAAGGGAGGUUCAUUGCUAUGAUUUUGCUCUAUUGUUAUUUAAAAUGUUAUCUGUUAUUUUUCAAGUAAAUAAUUAGUAUCUGAUAUGCUAAUUAGUAUCUGAUAUGCUAUUAGUGAUGAGAAUAUUCAAGGAAAUACCUUUUUUAGCAUCUUUCUCUAGGAUAAUUAGUAUUACAUGGCAUAGGUCAUAAAAGGAAAUGACAUAAGUUAUUUUUCUUUCUGGGGUCAAUUUUUAACUGACUAAGCUAUUCUAUGUUGUUAUUUUCUUACACAUAAGUCUCACGUCUGUCAUGAAAAACACAAACUUUUUGUGAUAGUAAAAAUGAGAUUGCAGGCUUGAAUUUUGCUGGUACCACGAUAUUAUGUGAUUUACUAUGGGCAUCUGGGUACCUGCUCUCAUACUAACCCGUAUGACCUUCUUGUAUGUUUUGUAGAGUCGUAUGAUUUAGAAUGUUAGUACAUUUUUAAUUGGGGAGUGCUUUUCAAUACUGAUUUUCCAAAGUAUAUACCAUAGAACCUACAAUAUUGGCAGUUAGUAUACAUUCAGAAAGUAUCAUCACAUAGGUUUAUACACUUCCUUUUGCAGAGCUAUGGAAUUUUAAUUGGUUACCUAGACUAAAGGUCUACUGUACAAAUUUAGCCGUGAAGUAUGCUUUCAGAAAUUAGCAUCACAUAGUAGUGUAAAUAAGUGAUUAAUUUAUAGAAUAAAUUCUGGGUAUGUCAAAAUGCAAGUUCUACGAGGAAAGGGAUAAUUACAUGAUGUCAUCUGAAUGUUCAGUACCUCAUUUUACAAGUUCAGUCUUGGAAAUUUAUACACUUAUCUAAUAUUUUGGGACUACCUUCUACAACAUAAACCCCAGAUUUUGCUUAUUUUGGUAGGUAUCUUAUCCACGAAAGAAAAGUAUAGACCUACCUUAUGAAAUUUAGAGCAGAUUCAUACUAUGUGCAGUUUGAUUUACCUACCUAAGGUUAUAGAACAGAUUCAUUACUCUUUUGCUUUCGCCAAGCAGUGAAUCAGUUGCGGCGUCAUUUCAAAUCAUAUCGGAAUGUGACAAAAAUACCUGAGGUGAGAGAGAACUCAAGAACAUCAUGAAAAUCCUCAAAUCUCAUUUGAUUGGAUGUUAUAUAUAUGCAUGGACAAUCAUCAUCAUUUGAUUGGAUAUUACAUAUAUGCAGUUUUGAUCACAAUGGUGAACCUUUUAUUUUCCUUCAAA